rfam:Myotis brandtii contig158131, whole genome shotgun sequence.
AUUCCCACUGAUGCACUGAGAGGACCCAUCUUCCGUGGACUGGGAAUUCCUGGAGAGCUGCGUUUGUGAACAGCUGGCAGGAAUUUCCUAAGUCCCAUCUUUUCAUUUCAUUUGUGUUGCAUUUCAGAACAUCCAGAAACC